rnacentral:piRNA from 1 species
UGAAACUCAACGAUUGACUAG